GGGAAUUACAUAUCAUGACUAUGUCACGGGAACCGUACCUAUAAUCACGAUGAUAUAUUUAAUCGCGCCUAAAGCAAACUACGAUAUUCAUAAAUUCAUUAUCUAUCUAAAUUUGAGGUUAUUGCAAGGCCAUGAAUCAUGGAAGAGAAUUGUUGAAACAAAGAUUUAAUCGUUCUUAUACUGUUACACGUCAAAAUGUUUCCAUGCUUGAGUUAGUGUGGACAAGUCAUGAUGAAGCAUCUACUAAUUUACUUAUUCGAAACUUCAGUUUCACAAAUAAAAAGAGCCGGAUCCAUUAAGCUGUUACUAUAAUAGGAAUGGAAAUAAACAUAAUAACGGACUAUCAUUCUAUUGGGCCCAAACACGAUUCGCGACUCCUAGGACUCUUCUUACGAGAUCUUCUCAAAUCCAUCAGAUUGAUAUACAACAAAUUCACAUCUACUUAUAUUGAUCAUUCAUAAAAAUAUAAAUUGAAAUUUAAACUAAUACUUGCACCCACUUUCACAGUGUCUGUUAAUCAAUCCAAGAUGGAAUAAAGUCUGAAGAACUAAUUGAUAGCUCAAGAUCAUGCAUGAAUCAAACAAAUACAUCUAAGAUCUGUAAGAAGAUUGAACACAUACACGAUUCCUCUCAUGCUAUUGCUAAAACAAUUUUAGUUGAUUUGGAGAAAACACAGUUUUGGACACGAACAAAGCAUUUAAGGCAUAUGGCAGUAUUAUAGCUUAACAAAAUAAAUAAUCAAUUAAACAAAUAAACUUCUGAACAGUCACCUGAGCAACUACAUUGCCAACUAUGGAACGCAUCAUCGUAUGCUUAAAAUUACAAUAUUCAUGUCCCAUUAAAGAAUGCAGCUAUGGUUAAACCUCACUAUGAUCACGAUUCUAAUUGAUACUUAAUGGAUAACAAACCCAAGCAACAAAGAUCCGACGGAGACGCAACUUUGCUCAAGCCUUAAACUGCAAAUCGAACCAACAUGUGGCCAGAUCCAUAAUUAUUGACCUUCAAAUCAAGAAUUAGACUUUAAUUUAUCAGAAAUCAUGAAAGCAAGCUCAGAUUUCAGUAGUUAAUACUCAAAUAUAAGCAGCAAGUAUUUGUCAAUGAUAUAUACAUGUUGAGGUCUAAACAAACAUGUGAAAUCAACUACAAUUCUAGUUAUGAAAUGGCUAUAGAGAUCAGUUGUCCUUAACAUGCAAGUCCAUAGCAGGUUUUAAAUCUUAAACAUAUCGAACUAACAUCCAUUUAUGUUUAAAACAAAACAGACAACAAAUUUACACAAUUACAACAAAUAACUUUAAAGAAUAGCCAACAUUUCAUUGCAAAUCGAAAACAGAAGUACAUGUGUGAGAUGUGUACCUAAAUUCAUAAACAAGCUGAACUUUUUGCCAAAUAAAGGCUAAGAAAAACCAACAUUGGAUUGAUUCAGCAAGAUCAAGCAGCAGUAAACAGAAGAAAAUAGCCUCAAAAUCUCAGCUAAACCAACAGAGUGACAACAACAGAAAUUAAAAAAGAAUAAAAAAAAGAAGAGUAUCCAUUUUUCAGAGAAUUCUGUGUAAAAUCAGUAUCUGUUCUUGAGUGUAUCUGAGAGCACUGCUAAGUGAAUUAACGUGUGUGAGAAUGUGAGGAAGAGUCCCUUUUUAUAGAAUAUGCAUACGCUCUAUGAGGGAAUGAGAUAAGGCCUAGAAAGGAAUGCCUCCUACAAUUUAG
rnacentral:lncRNA from 1 species